CAGGGAGACAACAAAAUGUUUAAUAUUAUUAUUUUGUCACCUUAGGUCGAUCGGUAUCUCACAUUCUUAAUUUAUUAAGAAUUUCAUUUCCUAAGUUUUUCUAGGUCACACCCAUUAUUUUUCCUGGGCCAUUAGCUCAGGUGGUUAGAGCGCACCCCUGAUAAGGGUGAGGUCCCUGGUUCAAGUCCAGGAUGGCCCAUAUCUCUAUGUUGGGGGUAUAGCUCAGUUGGUAGAGCGCCUGCUUUGCAAGCAGGAUGUCAGCGGUUCGAGUCCGCUUACCUCCACUGAUUACCACCUCUUCCAUAUUCGGUAGAAAGGAAAUGUUUUGAGUUGUGAUCAAAUUCUGAACGAAUCUAGCUUCCUAAUGAAAUCAUUAAGAUGCUGGACUCAUUGAAUUAAUUUCAUUGUUUUCAGAGAACCUUGACAACUGCAUAGAUUAUUUUUAAAGACAAUAAGCAUCUUUAAUGAUGCAGAUUUAUUAUUUGUGCGAAUGCAUUAAUAACAAUUCUAUUAAGCUGAUGCUUCAAUUUUGAAGUUAUU
rnacentral:tRNA from 1 species